ACCAAUCUUCUUCCAGAGUCUGUCUCUGCCUCCAUUUUUUUGGAGAGUUUCAUCACUUAAUUGUCAACAGUUCCUGUCCUGCAUUUUUGGCUCACAUGGGGAGGAGGAGACCCAAAAGCCAGCGAGCUCUCGGUGCAGUGUUCAUGCAGCCACGGGAUAAGUCAGUUCAAUGACCUGAUCCGGUAGAAAACUCGCCCAUUAAGAAGAAAAAAAAAAACAAACCCACUUAUAUUUUUCAUUAGGUCAAUUCACUGAAGCUCUGUAGCCAUCUGACCGAUGUCAUCUACAGGAUGAAGAGUGUGGUUGAGAUGAAGGAAGAGCGCAGGACUACACCCUUUUGGUGGCCUUCCGCAAUUGCACUGAUCAGAGGGAACAACAAAGCCCAGUCCUGAACUCCAGCCUGAUUUCAGAACUCCCUGAAGCAUUUCUAGGAGUUAAUUAAGCAUGACAGAGUCUUUUUGUUUCAGCUAACUCUAGAGUAGCAGUGCAGAGGUGUGUAAUAAUGAGUAAUUAGGGCUGGAAAGAAAACAAUUUAUCCUGUUUAGUUUGUACCUCAAAAUGGAGCUGUAAAAUGUUCUGAACAUCAAGGGGAAGAAGGGUACGCUGCUACAGCCCUAAUGGUUUAGCUGCAGAAGCCCUGAGCCUCAGCUUAUGUUCUCCUAUUUAACAAACCGACUUUUUAUUUCUGAUAGGAAAGGAAAUGAUAUUUAUUUCAAAGCUACAAAGAUGGAAGCUGAAAGUUACACAUGGGUUGGGUUUGGAAAAAGGGGAUGGGAUGGUUUCUUUACUGAUGUUGGUAGGUCCUUUUCUGUACUGUUUCUCUGAAUGAAACAUGAACUCAACAGUUCAUCAGUGUGCAAUACUGUUGUAUCUUUCAAAGUCCUUCCUGAUAAACAGGGUUAGGACUGACGGACAGAAGAAUAGAGAGAGUGAGUUCCAAGAGUCUGUUUUAAUACAGUUCUUUAGAAAGACGCUUCAGGUCCUUCUCAGAUUUAUGUCUCUUGCAGGUUUGUGUUUUUCUAGAGAAAUCUGAUUUUAGGGAACAGGUCAAGACGUAGGUAUUAUUUAUGCAGUAGCACUGACCCUAUUAAGAGUUCAGCAGUAAUUUUGUGCAGAAAUGAGAUGAAAUAGUGAACAAUCAGUUUUGGUUACGUACAUAAAUAUUUUUCAUAGCUUAUGAGCAGCAAUGCAAAAUAUUUUUAAAUGUAUGAAUCCACAGAAACUAAACGACAGAGACGGAGUUUGCUUGAGAUAUAGAGGAAACUACAUCACUGGGUUUCGAUGGUUAUCUCAUCUCCCAAGGAAAAUGCAGUACACAAAGGGGCUGUUAGUCACUGCUUUGCAAUGCGGUGCUCAGACUUAGCCUAAGGCAUCAGUGGGAGUCACACAAGAAGCCGACUGUGGUGAUGAGAUCUGGUUUGGGGUUGUUUUUUCAUUUAGAAUUAAAGCACACUGAACAAAGGAUUUAUAAUCAUAGAAUCAUUUCGGUUGGAAAACACCUUUAAUAUCAUCAAGCCCAGAUGCAAACCUAACCCUGCCAAGUCCACCAUUAAAUGCUUACUCUGGACUUUCACACAAAUGGACACUAUGCUGUCACACAUAAAAGAGAAAGACGGUGGCAAACACUUCGUAGAGGAUCUGGCACACCAGCUUUUCAGGAGAGGCUGCAGGUCAAGCUCAUUUGUAGAAGAAUGAGUCUGACUCAUUCAUUGAGGUGUUUUAAUGCCCCCGUAGAUAAAAAUCUAACCAGGAGCUGUUUUAUAAGAAGACAACUCCAUUUAUUUCCUGAGAAGGGAAUGAGAAAUUAAAUCUAUGUGGUAAAAAAACAGUAGUUUCAGGGAAUGCCUCUGAAGAGCUCCAAGUAAGAUUUUCUUCUUGGCGGCUUCAACUACAUCCCUUUUACAAGAAUGCCAUGUAAAUGAAGAGCAUUGAGACCUGCGUGGCUGUAGAUUGUCAUCACGUUAGCUGUGCAUACGUAAAUGAAUGGCCUUGCAAAUCAGAGAAGGGUGUGAAGAGAGGAACAAAGCAAAACCGUUAAAGAGAAUGUGCUGAAUUUUCCCUACUUGUAAAGCGAAAAAAGUCAACGCCAUAGAAAAUCACCCGUGCUUCUGAUUUGUAAUGGAAGCAGCACUGCGGUAUGUGACCAUCCGAAUACCUGUAAAUAGUACAAGCCUCCUUGUCCGGUGUUAUUUAUAUUGUUAAAAUUGUAUAUUUCUUACUAGAAAUGGACUGCAACAGGUUGGUUCCUUACACAUCCUUUAGCUCUCCAGACCCGGCAGUGUGCCUUGGCACCAGCACUGUGUUGUCUCACCUUUUCAGAAAUCAUCUUCAGAGCUGUGCCAUGUAUUUGCUAUGGAGUUCUGCUCUAUGCCUAAUUUUUCCACUCUGUAAAACACAAAGAAAAAUAAAGUAUGUUUUAAAAGGCUUGCAUGAACGUGGCAAUAAAAUAAUCUUUCAACAA